UUCUCCGCCAAAUUGAGAGGACAUGGCAAUUUCUGUUGUAAUCUUACGCGUGAGGCCGUGAGCCAUGCAGGAUUCCUUGGAAACAGCCGUAAAUGAUGAAGUAAUGCUAAUCCCCUAAAAUCGGAUCUCAACUAUCCCCAACUCUAACCUCCAAUGGCCUGAGCCUCUUCUCCAAUCUCCUCGACGCCAAGCCCUGCAUGCGCCGCCAACCUCCCCUCAAGCUACGGCACGGGCCACCGGCCCCCACUCCACCCCCAUUCCUUCCCGCAGCAGGUCCAACCCGUCGGCGUGGGCUUCACCCGCCGCCGUCUUUCGCUUCGACCUCCGGCAAGGACGCCGUGGACUCAAGUCGAGCCCGCGCCUACUCGUCUCCUCUCCUGCAGCGCCCCACGGAGUAGGAGACCUGGUGAUGCCCGACCGAGUCGUGGAACUACACCGGGUUGACCUGGUGCCUCGCCGUCGGGGACGACCAGGGCGGCGCAGCCGUGCCUCUCGCCGGCGGGAGGGUAGGGGCGCAGGAAUUGCAACAUGAGGCACGGAGGAAGGCCGGCGGUCGCCUUCCCGAGGUGCUGCUGCCGGCGCCGGCCACGAACCCAAACUGUUGCUCCUCAUGCCGACCACCACAUUGUCCGUCGCUGCCUCCCCAAGCUUCUGCUGCCCGUACCCAUGGAUAUGGCUUCUUGCUCUUCCUACAGUAACCUGGGGUUCUUUUCUUUUGUUGUCAUUGACGUUGGCAGCUGACGCGGGCCGCUGCUGGUGUCGCCGAAGAGGACGCUGCUGUCCUCGUCUCCUCUCCUGCAGCACCCAACGGAGGGGGAGACCUGGUGGUGCCUGGCCGAGACGUAGAACUCCACGGGUUGACCUGGUGCCCCGCUGUCGGGGACGACCAAGGUGGCGCAGCCGUGCCUCUUUCCGGUGGGAGGGGCACAGGAAUUGCAACAUGAGGCAUGGAGGAAGGCUGGCGGUCGUCUUACUGAGGUGCUGCUGCCGGCGCUGGCCACGAACCCGAACUGUUGCUCCUCAUGCCGAUCACUACAUCGUCCAUCACUGCCUCCCCAAACUGCUGCUACCCAAAACGUUGAAUGACAUCAACGCCGACCUCCCUGAGCUCUUGGUGGUGGUCUCCUCUUCUUGCCCGGUCUGUUGUCGCCCGGAUUCCACCUGGAGCAAAUGCACGCGUCUUCCGGGAGAAGGUCGAGGGACAACUGGACCGUGAUGCUGGUUCAUUUCAAGCCUGCCACAAGGGUUUGGCUCUCCGAUGCAGCUCUUUCAGGAUGCACUUGAAACCCUCUGUGUCGUCCUCUGUAGCUACUGUUAGACACCUCUAUUGCUCCUUGCAUUCGAUAACAGCUCCAUGAAGCUUUGUAUCCUCAAGAUUGGUGUCAUGGUAAUACACAUGGUGAUGACAAGGUCUUAGUCCUGCCACCCAAGGCAGGGAUUUGAGCAGACUUGGAUGCUCGUGAAAACCAUUCUCCAGGAUCGAAAUAUUGUCAAUGGGAAAUCAAAGGUGUUCCUUUGAGGAUCGAGAUCGGUCCAAAAGAUUUGUCAAAUAAGCAGAUAGGCUGGAACGAAUAUUUGCCUGUGGCAGCGAUGUCCUUUUCUUGAUCUGCAUGGUUAAGUGUAAAAUGGCGCAUACAUAAUGUUGCCGGCGCCGGCCACGAACCCGAACUGUUGCUCCUCGAUCAUGCCGACCACCACAUCAUCCGCCACUACCUCCCCAAGCUUCUGCUGCCCCUACCCUUGGACAUGGCUUCUUGCUCUUCCUACCGUAACAUGGUUUUUUUUGGCCUGGCUUUGACAUUGGUGGCGGAUGUGGGCCGCUGCUGGUGUCGCCGGAGAGGAUGCCGCCGUCCUUGUGUCCUGCUGCUCGACGACAACUACGGUGACGAGAUAAUUGUUAUUGGGAUGAACAUCGCAGCAUGUCAGAGAAGAAAGUAAAAAAGAAGAAAGAUACCAUUGAGGGGGAAGCCGAAGAUCAACGGGAUCCUUUGAUACCCGAGGAGACGGAAUGGAAGGGACGUAGCCCAUGUAGUUAUUCAGUUGACUACAUGGAUACUGGUACUGAAUCUCGAAGAGAAGAUGAAAUACGGAAUGAGGAACAUGAACCUGGCUUCGGUGAUUUAGUUGGAGUGAUAGCUAAUAGAACAUCAGUACCAACCUAUGAGAGUCGUAUGCCAGGGAAAGGAGAACUACCAUUUUCUAGCAAUGGAAAAGAGGAAGGCAACUCUGGAUGCGCCGUCUGCGCCACCUGCCAAGCGGACGGGGACCUCCUCCACCGAGGGUGCUGGGAGCCCGACGGUUUCUGCUCCCGUACUCGCUCGUGCCCCUGCCACCGACAUGUAACAACAAGGAUGGAGUUUUUGGAGUGGUGGGGGCGGCGGUUAGGCUGGGCUGAAACUGCAAAACCCAAAGAAAGUGUUUAGAGAAGGCCCAAAACCGGAAAUGCUAGACUUACGGAAUAGCUACGCACUGACGCGGAUGGAAUUGGACGUGGCUGCUGCACGGAAGGAAAAAAAAGCGCCGCUAAUUAUGCAACAAACAGGACGUGCCGCUAAUUAUGCAACCAAUAGGACGUGCCCAAUACGUUUUGCCCUUGUUCAGAUCGAUCACGCCGACCUUCCUCCAUCGCGCCGCCGUGCAGGGCCGCCGCCACCGUCCCGCUUCCUCCAUCGCGCCGUGGUGAAUGGCCGGGCUUCAUGCAGGUUCAGAUUGACCACGCCAAGCUGUUGAUCGAUCAUUCUAUGGCAGAGGAACAGGUUCAAGUAAAUUGAUCAAACCCAGUUCAGCUUGCCUGAUCCUUAUCCAUCUGUGUUUGCAGAAAUGGGAGAUGGGAGAAGAAGAAAUCUGCACAAAAGGAGAAGAAGAAAGCUGAACAAUAGAUAUUUCUAACAAAUACUUUGAUUCUUCGAAAAGCUCUACACUUUAAGUCCACUAAUUUAGUAUUUAUUUCAGGCUCGCUCCAUGAAAAUCAAAAAUAAAAGAUCAAAUGCAAAAAGAAAAUCAUCCGAGAGAGACAGCCUACAACAAGAGGAGACGAAAUAUGAGGUAGCUAUUUUUUUAGUUACAGCACAAUUCAAGUAUCUUUGUUUGUCAUCUCUUUAUUUUCACUACAUACUUGAGCACAUAUGUCUUUUACCACUUUAUCUGGACCAGGAAUCUUUUUUCUUGGACAUUAGUUUUUCUUUUUGAUACGCGGGCAAAAGCUUUGCCCUUUCUAUUAAUUAAGGAGAAGUUUUACAAGAAAAAAAAGGUGUUGGACUAUCGGUACUUUGGCUCAUGCGUUGGAAAAGGCAACGGGACAUGGGCUUCUCCAUAAGAUCCGAGGGCGGGGUACCAUCCUCCGCACAUCUCUUUAUGCGGAUGAUGCGGUGGUUUUGUAGCCCCUAUUAGAGAAGACAUUCAAAACCUCGCCUACAUCCUCAAUGACUUCGGAAAGGUUACCGGGCUAUGUACAAACUUUCUCAAGAGCUCCGUAGUCCCCAUAAGGUGCGCCAACAUUGACCUCGAUGAUAGCCACAAUACCAUAUGGAGCAAUUCAUGUAUAUAUUUUUGUCUCUUUAUUUAUUUCUAUAGCAAGUACCUUCUAAACUUGCUUGGUGCAGAAACCGUUUGACUUUAGUGUU